rnacentral:tRNA from 1 species
AGAUAACCGCCGGAUGAACGGGUGUCAUUGAUGUUGAUAAAUAGAGAAUUUUAAAUUCUGUUGUCUU